rnacentral:rRNA from 1 species
AGAACUUGAAACCGUGUGCUUACAAGUAGUCAGAGCCCGUUAAUGGGUGAUGGCGUGCCUUUUGUAGAAUGAACCGGCGAGUUACGAUCUGAUGCAAGGUUAAGCAGAAAAUGUGGAGCCGUAGCGAAAGCGAGUCUGAAUAGGGCGAAUGAGUAUUUGGUCGUAGACCCGAAACCAGGUGAUCUACCCUUGGUCAGGUUGAAGUUCAGGUAACACUGAAUGGAGGACCGAACCGACUUACGUUGAAAAGUGAGCGGAUGAACUGAGGGUAGCGGAGAAAUUCCAAUCGAACUUGGAGAUAGCUGGUUCUCUCCGAAAUAGCUUUAGGGCUAGCCUCAAGUGAUGAUUAUUGGAGGUAGAGCACUGUUUGGACGAGGGGCCCCUCUCGGGUUACCGAAUUCAGACAAACUCCGAAUGCCAAAUAAUUUAACUUGGGAGUCAGAAUGUGGGUGAUAAGGUCCAUAUUCGAAAGGGAAACAGCCCAGACCACCAGCUAAGGUCCCAAAAUAUAUGUUAAGUGGAAAAGGAUGUGGCGUUGCCCAGACAACUAGGAUGUUGGCUUAGAAGCAGCCAUCAUUUAAAGAGUGCGUAAUAGCUCACUAGUCGAGUGACACUGCGCCGAAAAUGUACCGGGGCUAAACAUA